AAGGAGGGGUGUGGCCUAGACCACUAAGGGCCGUGACGUGGUGCCGCUGAGCUUGGACCCCGACCAGAAGAUAGAGAUUGAAACGAUGAGGAAAACGAAGUGCCUAAUCCCCGCUGGACGCUAACUGCAGGCACCCAGAAAUACUCUCCACACCAUGCUGCACUGCUGCGGAUGAGGGAAGGAUGGUGUCGGGGCUUCAAGACUGUUUUUCCUACCUCUUCAGUGCCUCUUUCAGUGAUAUGAAGUUAAAACCAGGAACAUGGAGGAGACAUAUUUCCACCUAUUUCUCUCCAUAAGUAUAAAAGACCAUAAAAGACCAUCUAGGGACUUCAGAACCCAAAUAAUGACACAAUGUUAAUUUGCAGGUUCUCCCUCUGCCUGCCACCCCACCCAGCAAGGAGGAGAGGAAGUGUUGAGAAGGGAAGAGAUGAGUCCUGGCCCUGUCACUUCUUAGGGGUGUGCUUUUGAACAACCUGCUCACCAUGUAUGAACUUCACUCUUCUUGUUUAUAAAAUGAGGACAAUGACACCUGCAAGACUGUGAGGUUUAAAAACAAAAUCUGUGUUGAGAGGUAACUUGCCUCUUUUACUUACCAAUGAUUUCCUCAAUGCCUGGUGACUGGGGCUGGUUCAUACUAGACGAUCAAUAAAUGCUCCUUGAAUGAA